GACUGGUGAGUAACGCGUGAGGAACCUGCCUUUCAGAGGGGGACAACAGUUGGAAACGACUGCUAAUACCGCAUAACACAUAGGUGUCGCAUGGCAUUUAUGUCAAAGAUUUAUCGCUGAAAGAUGGCCUCGCGUCUGAUUAGCUAGUUGGUGAGGUAACGGCUCACCAAGGCGACGAUCAGUAGCCGGACUGAGAGGUUGGCCGGCCACAUUGGGACUGAGAUACGGCCCAGACUCCUACGGGAGGCAGCAGUGGGGAAUAUUGGGCAAUGGGCGCAAGCCUGACCCAGCAACGCCGCGUGAAGGAAGAAGGCUUUCGGGUUGUAAACUUCUUUUGACAGGGAAGAGUAGAAGACGGUACCUGUCGAAUAAGCCACGGCUAACUACGUGCCAGCAGCCGCGGUAAUACGUAGGUGGCAAGCGUUGUCCGGAUUUACUGGGUGUAAAGGGCGUGUAGCCGGGUUGACAAGUCAGAUGUGAAAUCCUGCGGCUUAACCGCAGAACUGCAUUUGAAACUGUUGAUCUUGAGUACUGGAGAGGCAGACGGAAUUCCUAGUGUAGCGGUGAAAUGCGUAGAUAUUAGGAGGAACACCAGUGGCGAAGGCGGUCUGCUGGACAGCAACUGACGGUGAGGCGCGAAAGCGUGGGGGAGCAAACAGGAUUAGAUACCCUGGUAGU
rnacentral:rRNA from 1 species